AUAUAUUUAUUUAAUUUAGACGCCGUCGCUGCUUCACCGAAAUUGCUCUCUUUUCCUCUUCUUCUUCUUCCACGCUUCCUCCAUUUUUGCAAGAUGAAGAAAUCUGGUUUCAUUGCCGCUUCCGUCGCCGCCGCCACCGCCGCCGUCUCCGCUUCCCCUUCUUCCUCUACUCUGUUCUGCGACCCAAAAAUUCAGCUCCCUCGUCAGGAGGAAAAGGAAUUAGGAGAGAAUUCUUCGUCAUCGGCGGAUAAAUUUGCUCCCAAAUUUGAUGGGUUGAGAUUUAUUGAAACUCUGGUGACGGCUCACAGAUGAGCUCCGCCGCGGGACGGCCAUGUAUGCGACGGCGGGACCCACCUCGGCCGCAACUCUGUUUGUCUGGUUUUUUUUUUUUUUAAAUGUGAUUUUUCUUGUGGAAAGAAAGGAUAGAUGAUGGAAAAAGUUGUUAAAAGUCUCUUAUUUUGUACAUUAAAAAAUAGAUUAAAUAAUAAUUUUAGUUUUUAGCUUU